rnacentral:lncRNA from 1 species
CCUGAUUCUCACGCGGGAAGGCAUAACAGAUUUAGCCAUGUCCAACGGAAACAGCAGCAGUAAUGGUGCUUCGGGCAGCAACGUCAGUCAGGGUGAAAUCGUGGAUUCAGCAAGGCGAUUGCUGGAUUUAAUUACGUCGGCUGAAAGACAACGAGAACCGAGGCAGGUCGAUGACAAUGGGCGUUCAGCCCCAAAGCCCGCCUCGCUUCAGAUGGAAAUGACCAGGUCAUUUCCAGGGAUGUUCACCAAGGCCAGAGGAAAGAGGCGCUUUCCCACCCCAACACUUGUCCCAGCCAAGAAGUUGAAGCCAUUAGAGGUGGCUUUCUAUUUGCUUCCAAAGCAGUGUGAGAAGACCCCGAAGGAGGGGGACCAAAUCCUCCAUCUCCAAGCAGGGUUAGGCCGCAGGACUGCUCACCUGGAUGAAGCUUCAACACACGAAGAGUUAUGUGAGGCCCUAAACAUUCUUUUUCCCAAACUGCGGAAUGUUUCCGGUGGGUGGCUGGUUUAUAAAGCUUCAGGUAGGCCAUCACAAGUGUGUUUUGUUUUGCUCAUUAAUUUAAAAAAGUACAUAUUCAGCA